rnacentral:rRNA from 1 species
GUUUCCUACGGGGGGCAGCAGUGAGGAAUAUUGGUCAAUGGGCGGGAGCCUGAACCAGCCAAGCCGCGUGAAGGAAGAAGGCCCCAGGCGUCGUAAACUUCUUUUGUCGGGGAACAAAAGGCGCCACGCGUGGCGUUCCGAGUGUACCCGAAGAAAAAGCAUCGGCUAACUCCGUGCCAGCAGCCGCGGUAAUACGGAGGAUGCGAGCGUUAUCCGGAUUUAUUGGGUUUAAAGGGUGCGUAGGCGGACCGUAAAGUCAGCGGUAAAAUCCCGGGGCUCAACCUCGGCGAGCCGUUGAAACUGUU